CUGAGUGUGGUUGUAAAUGCUGCUCUGGAAAGCAGAUAUCCAGGGGUGACAUCGGGGGUGCCUGUGGGGAAAGGGUGGUCACGCCUCACUGAACAGAGACUUUGGCUUUUAUUCUGCACAUUUCUGUAUUAUUUUAUGUUCCACACCAAGAAUGCAUUGUUUGUAGGUAUAAGGAGAAAAGUGCCCUUAAGAAAAGGUAAAGAGGGAGUUCUAGCAACUCGAAGGAGGAAGGUUUUUCUCUCCGUGCACCCCUAAUAGUGACUCAGCACUGCUUAGCACCCCACCUUCUGUUGUGCUCCGGUUUUCUGGAAUUUUAAUGGUUUUAGGCUGCCAUUUUGUCAUGUUUGAAAAUACCUUAAAUUUUUUUUUUUUAAUUUCAAUAGUUCUGUUCCAGAAUCUAGAAUGGCGAAGUAGUAUCCCUAAAAGAGUAUUCAUUACAAAAGCUCUAGUACAUAACUAGAUUUAAAAGAAAGCAAAACAAAAACUCAGCUAGUAAUAAUGAUUGAAAAGGGGGGAUUCGUGCCUUACGUGUACCAGUGCGUUUGUAAACGUUCCUGGCUUUCGUAGGCAUUGAAGGCUGCGUCUCAGCUUUGCUCCCGUCCUUUGCAGUAACCUGUGUACGGGAGGCUCCGUUGUUUGCCACCUCACAUUGGGAUAGGUUGCUUUUAGAAUAAAUAAUUAUGUAUUAUUUGCAUAAAAUAAAUAAACACCC
rnacentral:lncRNA from 1 species